CGCGGGCCCGGGGAAGGCUACGGGUGGGGGGGCCGAGCCGAGGUCCCGGGCCGUCGAGGGGUCCGGCGGGCGUGCGGGGAUGAGCGGAUCCCUGAGCCGGGCAGCGGCGGCUCUGCUCCGCUGGGGGCGCGGUGCGGGCGGCGGCGGUCUGCGGGGCCCGGGCGUGCGGACGGCGGGCUCGGGCGGCGGCGGGGGCAGCUCGGCGGAGCAGCUGGACGCCCUGGUGAAGAAGGACAAGGUGGUGGUCUUCCUCAAGGGGACUCCGGAGCAGCCCCAGUGCGGCUUCAGCAACGCGGUGGUGCAGAUCCUGCGGCUGCACGGCGUCCGCGACUACGCGGCCUACAACGUGCUGGACGACCCCCAGCUCCGGCAAGACCGUCAGCCCCAUGGUCCAGAACUGACCAGAACAAUCGUGUGGCUGCCCUGUCCUAGGAAGCGCCUCAUCUCUGUGUCCUCAGAACGAUUCGCACACAGGACCAAUCACAUGCGUGCUGGUUGGUUGCUGUGAGCUCUUGAGAACAGGGAGGGGGUCUCUCUUAGCCCGUGGCCCUGCACCUGGCCCAGGUCAUGGGCCUUAACCGAGCUUCGGGCCUUUCCUUGCUUUGACUCAGUCACUGCAAGUUCUGUGCUGAGCCACAUCAGCCUGCCCCACGGAGAGCCCACCCGUGGGGCUGAAUAGGGUGAGGGCUGCAGUCUGCCACAGGAAAGAGAUUGUUCUCUGGGUAAAAGGAUUAUUAAAAAUAAAACCCAGUGACUCAACAUCUUGGUGCUGUUCACCAACCCAGCCAGGCACGGAAAGCCUGAGGUGAGGCCUGCCUCAUCUGGCAGACGUACCGUGAUGGCGACCCACGUUAAGUAGUCCAUUUGAAAAUGAAGUCUUAGCAUUUAAGUUUUGUUUUACGGAAUGCAUGUCUGGCAGAUGAAGGGAGACCAUGGCUUUGUACAUCUGGCGUGACUUACUUCCACCAGUCGGGUUCUCCGCCAUCAGUCCCUGUUGACGGUCUGUCAGCUGUCACUGCAGAGCCUCACCUCCCCGACUCGCGCAUUAAAGACUAUUCCAACUGGCCCACCAUCCCGCAGGUGUACCUCAACGGCGAGUUCGUGGGGGGCUGUGACAUUCUGCUGCAGAUGCACCAGAAUGGGGACCUGGUGGAGGAACUGAAAAAGCUGGGGAUCCGCUCGGC